AUUAUAUAUAUAUAUAUAUACUUAAUUAUUCGUUAAUGCAUCUUCUUAAUUCUUUCUAAUAUGAGUUUCUUGUCAUGGCAUUGACUAUUCAUGCACGUGGGUCCUUGCCUUACUGUUUUACAACAGCAUCAAUUUGUUGCCGGUGAGUUUAGUUUCCUUUUGCCAAAUAAAUUUUUUAUAUAAAUUACCCUGUUUUGUUUUUCCUUGCAAAGAUCUUUUUUAGUGGUAGCGUAUUGGUUUUUACUUAGGAAUAUCUUAUUUUAUUGUUAGCUCAACAGGCAAUGGUUCCUUUAAUUCUUUUUAUAAAACUUUCUAAUUCACAAUGAUUAUGUGUGUUAAAAAUGGAGAGUUUGGAUGGAGAAAGGAUGUGUUUCUUGGGGUGAAAAUAGGGGGCUUAUUAUUGGGCAUUGCCUGAGUUGUGAUAAAUUGAUGGGACCAGUGUGGACUCUGAUAGGCAAUGCCUUUUGGUGAAGACAAAGGGCUUCUGCUAAUGUUUAGUUGAUAGGAUUACUUAUUUUUUGUGGUUUCAAGUGUAUGUUUUUGGUGUUCUAAAUCUGUUUUCUUUUUGUCCUUCCUGCAGUCACCGAGUGGUCAGGUGGGCUA
rnacentral:misc_RNA from 1 species